rnacentral:rRNA from 1 species
UACGUAGGGGGCGAGCGUUGUCCGGAGUUACUGGGCGUAAAGCGCUUGUAGGCGGUCCACCAAGUUUGGGGUGACAGUUGCCGACUUAAUCGGCAAAGUGCCUCAAAGACUGGCGGACUUGAGGGCCACAGAGGGACAUGGAACUCCAGGUGUAGUGGUGAAAUGCGUAGAUAUCUGGAAGAACACCAAAGGCGAAGGCAGUGUCCUGGGUGGUCGCUGACGCUGAGAGGCGAAAGCCAGGGGAGCAAACAGGG